UACGUAGGAUGCAAGCGUUGUCCGGAAUUAUUGGGCGUAAAGAGCGCGCAGGCGGUAACUCAAGUCAGAUGUGAAAUAUCCGGGCUUAACCCGGAGGGGUCAUUUGAAACUGAGUAACUAGAGUACAGCAGAGGAUAGCGGAAAUUCCCGGUGUAGUGGUGAAAUGCGUAGAUAUCGGGAGGAACACCAGUGGCGAAGGCGGCUAUCUGGGCUGAAACUGACGCUGAGGCGCGAAGGCUAGGGGAGCAAACAGG
rnacentral:rRNA from 1 species